rnacentral:lncRNA from 1 species
CAAUAUAGUGGCAGAUGCCCUAAGUAUAUUGUUUAUGGGUAGUGUUGCUCAUGUUGAGGAUGGUAAGAAGAAGUUCAUUAAGAAAGUUCAACAACACGCCAGAUUUGGUGUUCGUUUGGUUGAUUCCGCAGAGGGUAGCGUGUAAUUCCCCAUACUUUUCUUAGCUCAGUUUAGCUCCUAGUGUGUCAAGUCUUAACUUCAUAAACUUAUAACUCUUGA